rnacentral:lncRNA from 1 species
GGCUAGGGGUUGAAUCGGAGCUGUAGCCACUGGCCUAUACCAGAGCCACAGCAACGCGGGAUCCGAGCCGCGUCUGCAACCUACACCACAGCUCACGGCAACGCCAGAUCGUUAACCCACUGAGCAAGGACAGGGACCGAACCCGCAACCUCAUGGUUCCUAGUCGGAUUCGUUAACCACUGCGCCACGACGGGAACUCCAUCCUGGUUUAACUUUAAAGUCCUAUUUUUUUUUUUUGGCUAUAAUGCCUUUAAUGGAGGGUGGUACAAAAUGCAUCAAUGCAAAAGAAUGUUUUAUGUACUCAUUAGCAUAGUGAUUAAUGUAAAUUAGAGAUACACAAUGUGUUAAACCUUAAAAUCUACAAAGUUUCCUGCAACCUAAAAUAAUGUAAAAGAUUCCUUAAGUUUUUACCCACCACCUUUAAAGUUCUAAAUGGUAUCUGGGGGAACUGAAAAUGUAUGUGUAGUAUGUUAUUUAGAAGAAUUUACAAGUUUCUGUUGACUUUGUUGAUUGAGCAUGACUACUAAAAAUUAUGUAAUGAAAUUGAAUACAGAAACUUCCAUAAUUUAGCUCAUGCAAUGUUUUUUAACCCUCUUUAGAAAGGAGCUGCAUGUAGAAUGAGAUCACAUGCUUGCAAGAUAGCAAAUACCCUUUUUAUAUUUGAAAUGUUUGCUUUAGGAAUUAAUAGAAGGCAUAUUUUUCUAAUUUUAUGACUAAAUUUAGAAUGAACUGAAUGAUUAUUUUUAAGCCAUCGUAAAGUCUCCGAGUGGUAAAGUAGUGUUGCUUUCUAAGCUAUCACAGUUGACUUUAUUCUUCUACUCUGAAAAAAUCUUGACUUGUUUGAGUGUAUAUAAUAUAUAUAAAGGGAGCCUUAAUGGAUUUGUUUUCAUAAUUUAAUAUUUUUUGUAUUUGCUCUUGUAUAAUUGUUUUUAACGGAAAGUAUUACAGAAUUGAGGGUGGAAUUCUUAGAACCAAAGUUAUUCUUAAUAAAAAUCACCACAUGCUUGGAAAAAAACAAAAAACAAAAAACAAAAAACUGCACUCUAGUGGAGGGCAGUUCCAACCAUUGCAAAGUUUCUGUACUUUUGGCCCAGAAGGGUCACUUGGGGAAUGGCGGGGGAGUGACCCAAGCAUGUUAUCACUGGGGAAACUCCAAGGUCUCUGGCGACCACCUGGACACAGGGGAAGUCACAGGUGAAGGUUUCCUCAGGCACCAUCAGUCUUUAUUUCUGUUGCCAGCAGCCUUGCAUCCCGGGCCUGUGCACACCGUGUGGCUGAAAUGGCUCCUGCCUCUGCUUAUCUCACUUCUACUUGUGGAUUUUCUUCAAAUACUUCUGCUCAUUGGCCGCUUUCUGGUCUCCCUGGUGGCGAUUAUGUUGCCUUUUUGUGUAAUGCCAGAGCCCUAUGCACCUUUAGGAUACUAAUCACUGUUUGCAAUGAUAUAUUUAUUCUGGGGAUUAUUUGUGUCCCCCACUUAAUAAGGGCAAGUAAGUGCUUGUAUUUACUAUGUAUUGUAUUUCCAAUGCCUAACACCUUUCUCACCUGCUGCAUAGUAUGGUACUAAUUCUUGUUAAAUAUAUGACUGAACAUCAGGACUGACACUUUGUAUAGACUUGUACAGCCAUUAGAAAUCUCUAGGUGAGGAGUUCCCGUCAUGGCUCCGUGGUAAUGAACCUAACCAGUAUCCAUGAGGAUGCAGGUUUGAUCCCUGGCCUUGCUCAGCAGGUGAAGGAUCUGGCGUUGCAGUGAGUUGUAGUGUAGGCUGCAGAUGAGGCUCACACCUGGCAUUGCUGUGGCUAUGGCAUAGUCUGGCAGCCGUAGCUCUGAUUCAACCCCUAGCCUGGGAACUUCCAUAUGCCUCAGGUGCAGCCCUAAAAAGACCAAAAAAAAAAAAAAAAAAGAGAGAGAGAAAUCUCUAGGUGAGACUGCACUGACAUACAAGUGAACAAGGUAUAGCCUGUCAUAAAAAUUAUCUUCACUGUCUCCAAAUGGCAAUGCCCACCAAGUAAACUAUCUCAAGGACUCUUUAAAUAUUUCAGACAGACACAAAGCAGGGCAACCUUGAUUUCCUAGUAUAGGUUAUAUUUUACCAGAAUAAAAAAAACUGACCCUUUAUCAACCAAAUAGGUGGAUAAGUAGGCACAUUAUAGGGAAGCAGAGGAACUCAGGAAAUAAGAGUAACAAAGCUUCCUUUCCUUCCUAAUUUUUUUUUUGGGGGGGGGGCUUUUUAGGGCUUCACCCAUGGCAUUUGGAGGUUCCCAGGCCAGAGGUCUAAUUGGAGCUGUAGCCACUGGCCUACACCACAGCCAUAGCAAUGCCAGAUCAGAGCUGCAUCUGCAAACUAUACCAUAUCUCACGGCAACACUGAAUCCUUAACUCACUGAGCAAGGCUAGGAAUCAAACCCGCAUCCUCAUGGAUGUUAGUCCCGCUGAGCCAUGAUGGGAACUCCCCUAAAAUAUUUUAACACUCAGUCCUAUCAACCCACCUUGACUUAAAAUAUAAGGUUUGCUGCUCUUCUUUCUUCUCUGACUAGGUUUUUCGAGAGGCAAGGAUGUACAGUAUUCUGCAAAGAAUUGGUUCCAAUUUCCCUCUUGCCACCAGUUAGCAAAAUCUGAGGAUGCUCAAGUCCCUUAUUUAAAAUGACAGUAGUGGCACAAAUGAACCUUUCCACAGAAAAGAAACUCAUGGACUUGGAGAACAGACUUGUGGUUGCUGAGGGGGAGGGGGAGGGAGUGAGAUGGACUGGGAGUCUGGGGUUAAUAGAUGCAAACUAUUGCUUUUGAAUAGAUAAGCAAUGAGAUCCUGCUGUAUAGCACUGGGAACUGUGUCUAGUCACUUAUGAUGGAGGAUAAUGUGAGAAAAAGAAUGUAUAUAUGUACGUGUGACUGGAUCAGCUUGCUGUACAGUAGAAAAUUGACAGAACACUAUAAACCAGCUAUGAUGGAAAAAAUAAAAAUAAAUGACAGUAUUUGUAUAUACCUAUGGCACAUCCUCCCAUUUAUUUUUUUAUUUUUUUAAUGAUUGCACCUGUAACACAUGGAAAUGCCCAGGCCAGGGGUUCAAUCCAAGCUGCGGCUGCUUCAACGCCGGAUCCUUUAACCCAUUGCACAGGGUUGGGAGUUGAACCUGUGCCUCCACAGGGACCUGAGCUGAUGCAGUAGGAUUCUUAACCCAUUGUGCCACAGCAGGAACUCCCCGUUUAUUAUUUAUUUAUUUAUUUAUGGCAGCACCUGUGGCAUCGUUACCCAGCCAGGGAUCAAAGCUUUAUCAUAGCAAUGAUCCAAGCCAUUGCAGUGACAACGCAGGAUCCUUAACCUGCUGGGCCACAAAGGGAACUCCUCCCCAUUUAGUUUAAAUCACCUCUAGAUACGUAAUACAAUGUAAAUGUAAUGUCAAUAGUUGAACUUCUUGGACUUUUUUUUUCUCCUAAUAUUUUCAAGCUCAGGUUUGGUUGAAUCUACCCCUGGGUGCGGAACCAGAGGAUACGGAGGUCCGGCUGUACUCCUGAGCAAAGGACAUGAAGCAAGGAGUGUGGAGGAAGGCAUUCCCGAGGUGGCGUCUUCUCACUGAAUGUCCAGUUUAAACAGAGCAGUUCUGUGGUCCCCAAGGAGAAGACAUUUCUUGUCCAGAUUCAUGGCAUAUUUCCAUAUGUGUAGUUCUUCUGUGUAUUUCCCUACCACUGGCAGUCAGUAAAAAUCUUAAUGCUUUUUUUCCUGCCUUGGUCGAGUCUGUAAUCUAAGGUCAGAGAACUAACAGUCUUUUUGGUUGUUGUCUAGAGAGACCCCUCCCUGCAGGGAGAUUGUUAUUUUGUAUUAAUCUCUUUCUUCUUUAAAGACACUUCUUUACAGAUUCCUCUCCCCUGAAAACCUAUGACGUGUACAUUAUCAUCACCCCUAUUUUUACAGGUGAGAAACUGAGUCCUUGUAAGGCUAAGGAACAUGCCCAAGGCCACAAGGUAGCAAGUGGCAGGGCUGAUUAGUAAGCCCACACUUUUUCCACACAGACUACCUGUAAUAAUUGCUGUAAUAAAGGUUCAGACCAGUAAUUUGCUUAAAUGUAUAAUGCACAGGAUAAUUCUUAGAAAAUUAUAAUGUGUUUAGUUAUCCUGACCAUCAUCUCUCCCUACCUCUCCACUUCCAAGAGGUUAGACCUGUCCAGGGAGUAUAAAAUGUGAUCUCUUUUACAAGUGCAUCCAAUGCAAAUAACUAAGAAAUAUCAGUGGCUUGUAGUAGCCUCAGAACACAGGCUUUUACUUUGAUUUGCUUUUUUAAAAACUGAGAUAUAAGUCACAUACUAUAAUAUUCACUUUUUAAACCAUACAAUUCAGUGGUAUUUAGUAUAUUCACAUGUUUGAGCAACCAUUACCAUUAUCUAAUUCAAGAAUAUUUUUAUACUUUGAUACUUUUGAAGGCUCUUUUCUUACAGGUAUGAGAACUGGGUCUGUCCAGCGAGAACUCCAAGAACUCCAAGAAAGAUCUAGAGACCUUGAGACAAAACUGGAGCCAGCUGGAGUUCCCUCGCGGCUCAGUGGGUUAAGGAUCUGGCGUUGUCACUGCUGUGGCUCUGGUUACAGCUGCGGCACAGCUGGCCCUAGAACUUCUGUAUGCUGCUGAUGCAGCAAAACAAAAACAAAAACAAAAAAAGGUGCCAGCAAAUGCAAGCUGCUACUGUAGUGUUUAAAAAGGAGUUGUAGGAGUUCCCGUCGUGGCACAGUGGUUAAUGAAUCCGACUAGGAACCAUGAGGUUGCGGGUUUGGUCCCUGCCCUUGCUCAGUGGGUUAACGAUCCAGCAUACAGCUGUGGUGUAGGAUCCAGCGUUUCUGUGGCUCUGGCGUAGGCUGGUGGCUGCAGCUCCAAUUCGACCCCUAGCCUGGGAA